CAUUCAGUAGCCCAGCUACUUGUUUACACCCUUGUUCUUUUUUGCGUACUUAUCGUUUCCUCGGCGGGCUUGCCUGCCGGUUGGACAACUUUGUAACCUUUUUAAAUCUUCAAUCAGCGUCUGAAUAAUAUACAAUAAUUA
rnacentral:misc_RNA from 1 species